UAAAAGGUCGGGAAGCUCAGUUGGAGAGC
rnacentral:tRNA from 1 species